UGAGGAAUAUUGGUCAAUGGGCGAGAGCCUGAACCAGCCAAGUCGCGUGAAGGAAGACAGUCCUAAGGAUUGUAAACUUCUUUUAUACGGGAAUAACGGGCGAUACGAGUAUUGCAUUGAAUGUACCGUAAGAAUAAGCAUCGGCUAACUCCGUGCCAGCAGCCGCGGUAAUACGGAGGAUGCGAGCGUUAUCCGGAUUUAUUGGGUUUAAAGGGUGCGUAGGUUGUUCGGUAAGUCAGCGGUGAAACCUGAGCGCUCAACGUUCAGCCUGCCGUUGAAACUGCCGGGCUUGAGUUCAAUGGCGGCAGGCGGAAUUCGUGGUGUAGCGGUGAAAUGCAUAGAUAUCACGAGGAACUCCGAUUGCGAAGGCAGCUUGCCAUACUGCGACUGACACUGAAGCACGAAGGCGUGGGUAUCAAACAGG
rnacentral:rRNA from 1 species